AUGGCCGUCAACGAGGAAACGUCCGUCUACGUAGGCGGCCUGCCCUACGACGCCGACGAGGAUAUGCUCCGCAGCUACUUUGGGCCCUGCGGCACCAUCGUCUCCGUCAAGGUGAUAAAUGAUCAGAGAAUCAGGGGCAAGUGUUAUGGGUUUGUUACUUACACUCAACAUAGGGCUGCUCAGCGUGCUAUCUUGGAGAUGGAUGGCAAGCAAAUAGGUAAUCGUGCUGUGAGAGUAAAUGAAGUGCGUACAAGAGGCAACACCCGUGAUUUUGGGCGUGAUGGCUUCCGACGGGAUCCUGUAAGAGAUGGAAGGGAUGUAUACUGGGACCGAAGGGAUAGGGAGAGGAGUUAUGAUCGUCACCGGGAUAGAGAUCCUUACCAUGACAGGGAUAGUGAUAGACCUCGUGACCAUGACAGAGACAGAUAUGAUGAACGUGGGGGAUUUGAUCAUGAAAUGGACUAUUCCAUGGAUCGAGAUCAUGAAGGAGAUGAGAGGCGUGCUAGAGACCUUUAUCGAGGUGACCAUGAUCGUCCAGUGGAGACACGUAUGGACUCCGAUAAUGACAGAGACAAGGAAAAUUCAAAAGGCUAUGAUAGUGAAAGAGAUAAAGAAGACAAGGAACAGCCACCAAGGAAAAGCCGUCCAAAGGGUCGUGAGAGCAGAGAUAUAUCAAGUUCCAGUGAUGAGCUUCGGAAUGAUGCAAAACAUCAGCUGGACAAGGCCAUUCAGAUGCACGAGGACCUUGAAAAUGAGGUUUCUCAGAUUAGAGAUAAAGUUACAAGCAAAGAUCACCACAUUGCAGAUUUGCAAAAGAAAUCUCAGAAACUAGAGGAUGAAUUGGCUGCUGCGCGGAAAGUUUCUUCAGAGCGACAAUUGACUGUCACAAAGCUGUACAAAAGUUUUCUUCAACUUCAAGACUACAAUGACAGGGCCAAGACCGCAGAAGAGGAUCUCAAGGCUCUGGUUGAUUCUGCGAUGGCUGAGGUGGACAUGGCUGAAGACGCUACAACCAAAGACGGUUCAGGGUAUGAGAACGGCAUGGCCUGA
rnacentral:rRNA from 1 species